GAUGAACGCUGGCGGCGUGCCUAAUACAUGCAAGUCGAGCGAACAGACGAGGAGCUUGCUCGUCUGACGUUAGCGGCGGACGGGUGAGUAACAAGUGGAUAACCUACCUAUAAGACUGGGAUAACUUCGGGAAACCGGAGCUAAUACCAGAUAAUAUAUUGAACCGCAAGGUUCAAUAGUGAAAGACGGUUUUGCUGUAACUUAUAGAAGGAUCCGCGCCGCAUUAGCUAGUUGGUAAGGUAACGGCUUACCAAGGCAACGAUGCGUAGCCGACCUGAGAGGGUGAUCGGCCACACUGGAACUGAGACACGGUCCAGACUCCUACGGGAGGCAGCAGUAGGGAAUCUUCCGCAAUGGGCGAAAGCCUGACGGAGCAACGCCGCGUGAGUGAAGAAGGUCUUCGGAUCGUAAAACUCUGUUAUUAGGGAAGAACAAAUGUGUAAGUAACUAUGCACGUCUUGACGGUACCUAAUCAGAAAGCCACGGCUAACUACGUG
rnacentral:rRNA from 1 species